rnacentral:sRNA from 1 species
CUGUUGAGGUGAAAUAAAAUGAAUGUGUGAGUCGAUACCUGCGGCGGUAAGAAUCAAGUGCUCACCUGAAAUCGCAUCAGUACUCACACCGACGACCAGACCCGGUGUCACGCCAUCCAUCACACCGGGGUUACCACUUUUACCGAUACCGACAAUUUUACCAUCACGGACCCCCACGUCGGCUUUCACCACACCCAGACGAGCAUCCACAAUGGUAACGUUGGUAAUCACUAAAUCCAGAACACCAUUAUCACGGGUCAGUUGGUUAUUCGCGCCCAUCCCGUCACGC